rnacentral:rRNA from 1 species
GACGAACGCUGGCGGCGUGCUUAACACAUGCAAGUCGAACGGAAAGGCCCUGCUUUUGUGGGGUGCUCGAGUGGCGAACGGGUGAGUAACACGUGAGUAACCUGCCCUUGACUUUGGGAUAACUUCAGGAAACUGGGGCUAAUACCGGAUAGGAGCUCCUGCUGCAUGGUGGGGGUUGGAAAGUUUCGGCGGUUGGGGAUGGACUCGCGGCUUAUCAGCUUGUUGGUGGGGUAGUGGCUUACCAAGGCUUUGACGGGUAGCCGGCCUGAGAGGGUGACCGGCCACAUUGGGACUGAGAGACGGCCCAGACUCCUACGGGAGGCAGCAGUGGGGAAUAUUGCACAAUGGGCGGGAGCCUGAUGCAGCAACGCCGCGUGCGGGAUGACGGCCUUCGGGUUGUAAACCGCUUUCGCCUGUGACGAAGCGUGAGUGACGGUAAUGGGUAAAGAAGCACCGGCUAACUACGUG